AAGAUGCUUUAUAGACAUGAAAUCUCUCCAGUCUUUAAUUCUAGUUUUUAACCAAAUCAAUUUAAUAGUGAAGCUCAACAUAGGACACACAUGUAAAACACUUCUACGGCUUGUAGCCUCUGUGAGUCCUCAUGUGCCGAGUUAAAUGCUGUUUUUGAAGAAAACUUUUUCCACAGCACACACAAGAAAACAGCUUUUCACCAGUGUGAAUCCUCAUGUGCCGAAUUAAAUUCUGUUUUUGAAGAAAACCUUUUCCACAGUUUCCACAUGAAAAAGGCUUUUCACCAGUAUGAAUCAUCAUGUGCCGAGUUAAAUGCUGUUUUUGAAGAAAACUUUUUCCACAGCUCACACAAGAAAAGAGCUUUUCACCAGUGUGAGUCAUGAUGUGCCGAAUUAAAUUCUGUUUUCGAAUAAAACUUUUUCUACAGGUCACACAUGAAAACGGCUUUUCACCAGUAUGAAUCAUCAUGUGCUUAGUUAAAUUUUGUUUUUCAAUAAAACUUUUUCCACAGGUCACGCAUGUAAACGGCUUUUCACCAGUAUGAAUCAUCAUGUGCUUAGUUAAAUUUUGUUUUUCAAUAAAACUUUUCCCACAGGUCACACAUGAAAACGGCUUUUCACCGGUGUGAGUCAUGAUGUGCCGAAUUAAAUUCUGUUUUCGAAUAAAACUUUUUCUACAGUUCACACA